CACACAUUAAUUCACACACGCCACAAACUCGGCCUGCCCCUGCCCAGCAACCCCUCGGGGCGCACCACCGCUAUCUCUGACGCGUUUAUGCACAGUCCUACUCGCCCGCCGCAGACAGACCGGUCCCCAAGCAGCCGUCCAGCCCCUCCAGCCGCGUAGCUGCGAAAUCUGUCCUCUCCCUCUAACCCCAUUCCCCGCACACCGCCCCAGGCGCUGCGCCGCGCCCGUGCCGGGCCAGUCGGGGAAACUGCGCGCUCAGUCAUCUGGCAAUCACAGACGCUCCGAGGAGGGGCGGCGCGCGGGAAACGAAAGCGGCUGGAACACAAACUCAAGUCCCCUAAGGCCGCGGUCGAUCCGUGCAAGAAGUUGGAAAUCCUCGGGUAGGUCUCUAGCACCAGUGUCCAUAUGGUAGAAGGAGCAUCUCCAAAUGGCUGCUGCCAGUGUCUACAUUCCCAGGGUGAGCUGCAGUUGCUUCCUGCCUCUCCAGAAGACUCUUCAAGCUCCUGGUAACACGAACGAGUAGAACGGCAUGCUGCUUCCAGGACUGAAGUCAUAGGAUGAGACACAUGCAUGGAUUUUCUUCAGUAAACAUUCUCCUUAUGACAAAACUGCUUAGUCACGACCCUCUUUCUUGAGAUAUGGAUUGUCUUCUGACUUUAUGACCAUUGUUAAUUCCUUGUUCCCUUGAUAAUGGUUUCUGUACAUCUGGUUUUCUGAUCUUUAUCACUGUCGAAAGAAAUUCCUUGUACAACAGCCUGUAUAUACUCACAGAAAGAUCAUUAAAGCACCC